rnacentral:sRNA from 1 species
CUUAAGGAAGCGGAGUUGGUAACUUGUUCUAUAGAAUUGCUUUUGCCACUAUUUAAGGACACCAUUGAAAAGAUUAAUUUUGAAAAUGCGAAUCUUUCUGCAUCGAAUUUGAAGAUUUCUGAACAGAAGGAAAUAUUAACAAAAGAAUUAGACACCUUCAAAAGUGUAAAACUAGCUUUAGAACAUCUUCUUAGAAAGAGAGACUACAAACAAACAGGAGACAAUUUACCCAGCAUGUUGCUAGAAAAUCUAACUGAUAAUGAAAGUGAAAAUACUAAUCUUAAGAAGAAGGUAUUUGAAAAGGAGGCCCAUAUCCAAGAACUUUCUUGUUUGUUUCAGAGUGAAAAGGCAAAUACUUUGAAAGCAAACCGUUUUUCCCAAUCAGUAAAAGUAGUACAUGAACGACUACAGAUCCAAAUUCAUAAAAAGGAAGCCGAGAAUGAUAAGUUGAAAGAAUAUGUAAAGGUUAUAUAUAAAUAUAUAUCCAUUUUUAUAGUUUAAGUGAUAAAAUUAAUGAAAGGCUAUAAAGCCUUCCUUAGUUCUAGAAUUUGGUGGUUUUAAAAUACACAGUUGUUGACAUGGGAAAUACAUAUUUAAGGUAAAUCUUAAUAUUUGUGGCCUAACUAAAGGUUUGGGUCCCAAUUUCAAAUAAAAAUGCUGUCUCUGUUUAAUACCAAUCUAGGAAGGAUUUAUGGAAUUGAAUUACUUUAAAAAUCAUUUCCACUUUAUAGUUAAUUUAUAUUUACUGUGGAAAUUUAUAGAA